rnacentral:rRNA from 1 species
AUGUCAGAAAUCGUCAACAACCUCCUCGCCAAACUCGCCGGCCUACUGGGCGACGAGUGCCAGAAGCUCAAAGGGGUGGAGCGUCAUGUGCGGUUCCUCGAGGACGAGCUCAGCACCAUGAAAGCAUUCCUGGAUGAGCUGGGGCUGAGGGAUGAACUAGAUCCCUUGACCAAGAACUGGCGGGACCAUGUCAGGGACAUGGCCUACGACAUGGAAGAUUGCCUCGAUGACUUCCUUGUCAAUCUUGGAAGUGCCAGUGACAACGCUGGUUUUAUCGAUAGGACCACUGAGCUUGUCAACAUCCUGUGGGCGCGUCACCAGUUUACAAGCCAGAUUCAGGAGCUCAAGGAUCGUGCUAUAGAGGCGAAUCACCGACGCAAAAGGUACAAGCUUGAUGAUAGCAGUAGCUCUAGCUCUGCCCUUGUGCCAGUCGAUCCUCGGGUGUCGGCACUCUACAGAGAGGCGGCCAGCCUUGUGGGUAUUGAUGGCCCAAGGGAUGAGAUUGUCCGUUGGCUGGCGGAUAGUGAGGAAAAACUCAAGGUGGUGUCCAUUGUGGGAUUCGGCGGUCUUGGUAAAACUACACUUGCCAAACAGGUGUAUGAUAAGAUCGGCGAACAAUUCAACUUUAAGGCAUUUGUGCCGGUUUCCCAAAGACCCGACAUGGCAGCGCUCUUGAUUGGGCUAGAAUCGAAGCUCAAGGGAACCGAGAUUUGUCGCACUCGAAAGGUGCAUGACAUCAUCAACGACCUUCGAGAGCAUCUCACGGACAAAAGGUACUUUAUUGUAGUCGAUGACUUGUGGGAUCGACCAACAUGGGAUAUUAUUAGUUGUGCUUUUCCAGAUAAUGGCAACGGGAGUAGAAUAAUAGUAACUACACGAGUGGAAGAUGUGGCUCGCCUGGCAUGUCGCAAUCAUCAGGAGUGCGUCUACAAAAUAAAGCCUCUCAACGUCCAAGACUCGAAAAGAUUAUUCUUUAGUAGAGUGGUUGCGCCUGAGGAUGUCAAUCCAUCCCAAUAUGAAGAAGGUUCAACUGAAAUUUUGAAGAGGUGUGGUGGACUGCCACUCGCUAUUAUUACAAUAGCCGGCAUAUUAGCUAGUCGUCCAGGAAUAUUAAGGCGGGAUUGGGAGACCAUAAGGAGUUAUUUGGGAGUUCAAUCUGCCACAGACCUCACCAUGGAAGGAAUGAGGCGUAUAUUAAACCUUAGUUACAUGCAUCUUCCUGCUCAUCUUCGGGUAUGUUCCUUACAUCUUGGUAUGCAUCCAGAGGACCACGAGAUCAUGAGGGAUGAUCUUGUUCGACAAUGGAUAGCUGAAAGCCUUGUGCGAGGUUUACCUGGGCAAGAUUUGGAGGAUAUUGGAAGGAGUUAUUUCAAUGAGCUUAUCAACAGAAGCUUGAUUCAGCCUGAAGAGACAUUCGCUGGGGAUGUGGUUUCUUGCAGAGUGCAUGAUAUGAUUCGUGAUGUUAUUAUCAGCAAAUGUGAAGAGGAAAAUUUCAUGAGUAUGGUAUACAAUUCUGAAGACAUUGCAAGAUUGCGUAAAUGCAAGCUCAAGGUUCGCCGAUUAUUCAUGAGCUCGAGUUGUUUUGGUGCAACAAAUGGUGCAAUAUCAAGGACAACUGCUACUAGUCUGUCGAAGGUUAGAUCGAUUGUAUCAUUCGGAAAGCGCAAGUGUCUGUUCUCUAGAUAUCUCCGGGUGCUCUUUAUUGAAACCCAGGGGCCCACUGUAGUUAAUCUCAGUGAUAUCAGCCGAUUAUUUCAUCUGAGGUAUUUGAAGGUUAUUGCACGAAGCAUAAGUCUUCCGUCUGAAUUGAAAGGACUAGUGCAUUUGGAGACGCUGGAACUGGAUUCUCAUGCACUCAUGUCAGAUUCAAUUCCAGCAGAUGUAGUUCAGUUGCCUCGUUUGUCCCACCUGGCUGCUCCAGGUCAUAGGCUGCCUAGUGGGAUUGGGAACUUGGAAUUAUUGCGAACUUUGAAUGGGUUUCAGUUGACAGAUUGCUCGUCGGAAGAUAUCAAAGGUCUAGGAGAGCUAACAAAUUUGCAGGAGCUAUGGUUCAUCAUAGAAGAUACAAUUGAAAUUGAUGAUGCUUUUGUCUCCUCCAUUGAAAAGCUUCGUCAACUGAGACAUCUCAGAUUGUCUCAUGAAUGGUGUCUUGACAAUGACAGUCUAUCAUCAAUAUCAAAUCCUCCCCUCCUUAUCGAGACACUUGUACUGAAAGGUAUCGUGUCCUUCAGAACUCCGAAGUGGAUUGGUGACCUCCAUUAUCUCCGUCACCUGCAGCUGUCUGUUAGGGAGACAUCGACUGAUGACAUUCGCCUGCUUGGAGAGCUGCGCUUCCUAGUGGAACUCAAAUUCAUUUUGUUGCGUGUCGCUGCAAAUGGAGCUUUCAUAAUCCGCACAGGAUUAUUUCCAGCUCUGGAGUACUUUUACUCACGCUUUACAGAGCGGCAUGAUAAGUUACAGUCUGCACAAGGCCAUGUUAUGUCAAACCUGCGCUUCGAGGUCGGGACAAUGCCCAAGCUACAAAGGCUAGAGCUAGAAUUAGAGGAGGAGCACUGGGGCGGCGCUACCCCAGUUGGCAUGGAGCACCUCUUAGCGCUCCAACAAAUCAAGGUAUCAUUCGACCACCGCUACCCCAGUUGGUAUGGACCACCUGUUGCCAUCAUUGAAUUGACCCGCCGUGCCGAGUCUGCGCACAGGGAUGCCUUGCAGGCGCACCCGAACCGUCACUCCAUUCGCAUCAAUUAG